rnacentral:rRNA from 1 species
UACAGAGGGUGCAAACGUGUUCGGAUUUACUGGGCGUAAAGCGCGUGUAGGCUGCUUCGCAAGUCGGAUGUGAAAGCCCUGGGCUCAACCCAGGAAGUGCAUUCGAAACUGCAGAGCUGGAGUCCUGGAGAGGAAGGCGGAAUUCUCGGUGAGAGGUGAAAUUCGUAGAUAUCGAGAGGAACACCGGUGGCGAAGGCGGCCUUC